rnacentral:lncRNA from 1 species
CUGACAGUUUGGCUUCCCUGUUCCAGGUGGCAAAGCCUGUGGGGUAUUCACCUACCUGCUGCAUGAAGGCAGCAUGGAGGGACUGUGGUGGAUUAUCUGCAAAGAUGGCCCAAAUUCUCUCAUCCCUGCAGGUACAUACAAGGUUGUUGCAUGGCAUAAGUAAAAUGACAGCUAUAGAAUAUGUGCAACUUUUCAGUGACAAAGACCUGUGAAGCAUUGACAGUACCACCUAAUGAGGUUUCACGAUAACUAAGUAUCACAACCAGUUUACAGACCAGAAAACUGAGACACAGGAAGGGUUGGUGACUUGAGCAAGGUGCAUCAGCUGGAAAUUGAGGUGUACGGAAUGCUUAUUUGGUUGACUCAGUAUCAUCCUAAAUGUAUGAACUAAUGUUUAGGAGUUUGCAGUUCACCCGCAAACCUCAGCGAUCCAAGCUCCCCUGGAUGACCAUCACUCACCUAGAAAAGAACAAUAACAGGACCUGUUUUGCUAAUCCAGGACUGUUCUCCAGCACUAACUCUAAAUAAUCCCUUCUGUUAGAGUCCACUUUCUGGAACCUGUUGCCUCCGUUUUCAACGUUUCCCAAACUUGGUCCGUUGUGUGAGUUGGCUGUUAAAAGUUCCAGAGGUCACAUAGGUACAUUCACUCACUUUCAACCAAUAUUUCUCAAGACUGUGUUAUGCUGUGCACAGGAGACACAGAAAUAGAUGACCC